GGAUAACCUGCCCUUGGGUCCGGCAUAACCCCGGGAAACUGGGGAUAAUUCCGGAUAACGCACAUAUGCUGGAAUGCUUUAUGCGUAAAAUGGAUUCGUCUGCCCAAGGAUGGGUCUGCGGCCUAUCAGGUAGUAGUGGGUGUAAUGUACCUACUAGCCAACAACGGGUACGGGUUGUGAGAGCAAGAGCCCGGAGAUGGAUUCUGAGACACGAAUCCAGGCCCUACGGGGCGCAGCAGGCGCGAAAACUUUACAAUGCGGGAAACCGUGAUAAGGGAACUCCGAGUGUCCGUAAAUGCGGACUGUCCGUAUGUUUAAAAAGCAUGCGAAGAAAGGGCCGGGCAAGACCGGUGCCAGCCGCCGCGGUAAUACCGGCGGCUCGAGUGGUGGCCACUAUUACUGGGCUUAAAGCGUUCGUAGCUGGGUUGUUAAGUCUCUUGGGAAAUCUACCGGCUUAACCGAUAGGCGUCCAAGGGAUACUGGCAAUCUAGGGACCGGGAGAGGUGAGGGGUACUUCAGGGGUAGGAGUGAAAUCCUGUAAUCCUUGGGGGACCACCUGUGGCGUAGGCGCCUCACCAGAACGGCUCCGACAGUGAGGGACGAAAGCUGGGGGAGCAAACCGGAUUAGAUACCCGGGUAGUCCCAGCCGUAAACGAUGCGCGUUAGGUGUAUCGAUGACCACGGGUCAUCGAGGUGCCGAAGGGAAACCGUGAAACGCGCCGCCUGGGAAGUACGGUCGCAAGGCUGAAACU
rnacentral:rRNA from 1 species